GACGAACGCUGGCGGCGUGCUUAACACAUGCAAGUCGAACGAAGUGGCGAACGGGUGAGUAACGCGUAAUCAACCUGCCCUUCAGAGGGGGACAACAGUUGGAAACGACUGCUAAUACCGCAUACUGAAGGAGGGGAUUGCGUCUGAUUAGCUAGUGGGAGGGGUAACGGCCCCACAAGGCGAGUAUCAGUAGACGGUCGGAGAGGAUGAACGGCAACAGUGGGACGGAGACACUGCCCAGAUUCCUACGGGUGGCAGCAGUGGGGAAUCUUCCGCAAUGGACGAAAGUCUGACGGAGCAACGCCGCGUGAGUGAUGACGGCCUUCGGGUUGUAAAGCUCUGUUAAUCGGGACGCGGUACCGGAAUAGAAAGCCACGGCUAACUACGUGCCAGCAGCCGCGGUAAUUC
rnacentral:rRNA from 1 species